rnacentral:rRNA from 1 species
UACGUAGGGUGCAAGCGUUGUCCGGAAUUAUUGGGCGUAAAGAGCUCGUAGGCGGUCUGUCGCGUCUGCUGUGAAAACUCAGGGCUUAACCCUGAGCUUGCAGUGGGUACGGGCAGACUAGAGUGCGGUAGGGGAGACUGGAAUUCCUGGUGUAGCGGUGAAAUGCGCAGAUAUCAGGAGGAACACCGGUGGCGAAAGCGGUUCUCUGGGCCUUACCUGACGCUGAGGAGCGAAAGUGUGGGGAGCGAACAGG